rnacentral:misc_RNA from 1 species
ACAAAUCACGCCACUUUUGCUUGAUCUUUGUGCGUUAGCGUUGCGACUGGAUAAACCUCUCACUGCACGCCUGAUGCCCAUUCCCGGAAAGCAAGCAGGCGAUGAAACAAACUUCAAUUUUGGAUUUUUUGCAAACAGCAAAGUGAUGAAGUUAGAUUCAGAUCCAUUAAAUUCCCCAUUCAAUCAAAAUGAAGUGUU